UGGUGUUUUCUUGCCUGUUUUGAGCCGAUCUGCGAAACGAUAAAAAGUAAGAAGCUCUACAGUGAAUUUUCCACCUCCCCACCUUCUGACAAUACCUAACCACAGCUUCUCCAUGUAGUUUCCUUGUUGUUGCGUGAAGGGGAACCUCAGCCUCCCCAGUGUCCUGAGUGUGUGUUUUCUCUCCCCAGCAGUCCCCUCAGUCUCGCUGGCUGACGACGGAGGAGAGGAGCCAACUCCUGCUCCAUCUCAAAGCUUCGGGCUGGGCUGAGCUGGGCGAAAGAGAUGCCAUCUACAAAGAGUUCAAUUUCAAAAAUUUUAAUCAGACAGUAGUUGUCACAGUAAAGAAAGCCCAGGCAGUGGAGAGAAGGUGGGUGAGUUGCCCUCAAGCCCCUCUGAGCUGAGAGAAAGCGAAAGAGAAAAGAACUGCAGAAAAAGCCAGCUCACGAGCAGGAGAGUGCUGGGCUGGGUGGCACAUCUGGAGCCUCCUGUACAUUUUUUUCCUGGAUUUCACUUCAAACCUGGACGCUAAUACAGAACAAUUCAGAUAAUUCAGAGGGUAACGCAGGAGGGAAGCCCAUGAGAGGGAGCUCACAUGAAACCUUGGUGAGAUACGCAGGCAGCUCGGGGCUGGAGCAACCAGGAGAGAACAGCACCUUUGAUAAAAGAGCUGAGAUUUUCAGCCUUUGUGUUUUGAAUCUUCAUGAAACGACAUCUCUGCUGAGGCACGGUCAAAGCCUUUGCUGUUCAGCACAACUGGAAAUUACUUCUUUGUCCCCAAAGUUAAUAAAAACGUGGUUUUGCACACUGCAAUUAAGUAAGUCUGCUUGAUCAGGUGGACUUAGGCAGUCAGGCAGCAGAUAGGUCAAGAGAUUAAUCGGUGUGACCCGACAGCAGAUACCUAGAGAACCCAUUGUUUUGGCAAAAAAUUACAAAGUUGGGGUUAUUUUUGACUGUGUACAUUUAUCUUACAAAACAGGUAGAUAUUCAUAUGUCUUCCUAAUUUAAAGACCGAUACCAGUGUAGGAAAUGGAAUAUAUUUGAAUAGUCUUAUUAUUAAAUCUUGAAGUAUAAAUUUAUAUUACUAGUACGUGUCAUCUUAAAGAGGGUAAUCUUAAAAAUAAAUGUAAUUUGGAUUGUUUGGGAGAUGUUGGCACAGGCUCUGUCGCCCCUGGUUACCCCUCACGGGUGUCGGGUAAGGCAGAAAUGAGAGCAGAGGCUGAGAAUUGGCUUCAAAACUGAGCUUUCUGCCCCCAGCAGCUGGGUGGGUGGGAUGCUCUGGGCAGCUCUGGCUGGGUCAGGGUUCUAUGUGAACAUCCGAGGGCAGAAAUUUCAGUGAAUUUCAGUGAAAUUCAGUGAAUUUCACCUGCUGAUUCCGAGGAACCAGCUCCCUCCUCCCCAUUUGUGGUCGUUUGGGGCAGAAGCCGUCCCUGGUAUCGUAGUCAAAAGGGCUCAAGGUGCAGCUCCCGAGGGGAUGCUCAGAGCUGGUAUCACAGAGGGAGUAUUUGCCUUUCAAUAAGUUGAAGCUGGAAGUAAAUUAAAAUUAUGCAUGUAUGCUUAUUGAUGGUUAUAUUUGUAAUAGCUUUUAGUAAAUACUGUGUUUAUUAUGACCUAGGGAGCAAACAACCAAAGCAGACCUGUAUACCUGCACUGUACUUUGGGGGAAUUUAGUCCUGCAAGGAAAAAAAGUUGAACUUGUAGGUACAACUUCUUUCAUUUCACAUAAUAAAUAUUCUAUUUGCUUUA